rnacentral:rRNA from 1 species
UACAGAGGUGGCAAGCGUUAAUCGGAAUUACUGGGCGUAAAGCGUGCGCAGGCGGUGAUGUAAGACCGAUGUGAAAUCCCCGGGCUUAACCUGGGAACUGCAUUGGUGACUGCAUUGCUGGAGUAUGGCAGAGGGGGGUGGAAUUCCACGUGUAGCAGUGAAAUGCGUAGAGAUGUGGAGGAACACCGAUGGCGAAGGCAGCCCCCUGGGCCAAUACUGACGCUCAUGCACGAAAGCGUGGGGAGCAAACAGG